rfam:Vitis vinifera, whole genome shotgun sequence of line PN40024, unoriented chromosome 8, chr8
GGGAUUGUAGUUUAAUUGGUCUGAGCAAUGCCCUUGCAAUGCGGAAGUUGCGGGUUUGAGCCCCGUCAAUCUCA